UGCGUAGGCGGAACUAUAAGUCAGUGGUGAAAUCCUACAGCUUAACUGUAGAACUGCCAUUGAUACUGUAGAUCUUGAGUACGGUUGAGGUGGGCGGAAUGUGUCAUGUAGCGGUGAAAUGCUUAGAUAUGACACAGAACACCAAUUGCGAAGGCAGCUCGCUAAACCGUAACUGACGCUGAGGCACGAAAGCGUGGGGAGCGAACAGGAUUAGAUACCCUGGUAGUCC
rnacentral:rRNA from 1 species